AUUACACUAUCAGAACAGACUCAAGGGAUAUAAAUUAGUUUCGUUUGAUAUUAUUUUAUCACUAGUAAAACUAGUACCUAUCGCCUUCGCAUGUUUUAUUUGCUUUUGUGAAACAGCUAUCAUCAAAAUGAAAAAUCGCUUGUGGCUGCUCCUAGCAGUUCUAAUAGGACCAGUAUUCUGCAAACCUUACAUGGACGUUCCCUGCAAUGAACUAACAACAGAAAAAAUAAAGUUUUUGGCCAGCCAACACAUUACGAAGGUUGCAAUAAGUAACCGAUUUACAACGUGGAACCCUCGAAGCCACUUUCUUGGUUACGUGCCGGAAAUGGGAAGGUAUUUACAUCAAAUGGAAAUUCUACGCGUCGACGGUUGCCAGAUGGAAGAUGAGUCAUGGAAACGUCCGAUUACCGAACUGAGAAAUAUUCAAACUUUGGAAAUUAUGUCGGCUGACCUCACUGAAUUCGAUUUUGAUUGGAUUGCAUCAAAGGAAUUACGGGAAUUGAAUUUGAGCUAUAACAAAGGAGUGGUCUUAAAAGGAAAAAGUAUUACGAAGAAAUUACAUCAGUUUAUAUGUGAUAAAUGUAAUCUGAGUCCUGCAAGUAUUGAAACAUUGAAACAGUUUAAAAACUCGUUGAUUACUUUGAGUUUAAAAGAAAGUAGCAUUGAUGAAAUGGAAAUACUUGAAAGUUUCCCAACAUUAGCAUUGCUAAAUUCUAAUUCUCGUGAGGAUAUUUACCACAAGAAUUUUAUUGAAGAAACUAGGUCUUCAGCUUCGACAAAAACUCCGCCCACACUUUUAAUCUUGGUUUUAUUGGGUGCAUUAUUUAAGGGCAGAUUUACAAAGGUUAUCGGUUUUAUUAUCGUUCUCACCUUUGCAAUUGUUCCAACUCAGGCAUUUUUCGUCAAACAUCGAAAUCUUCCAAUCAUCAAAAGCACAUUUUUCAAGAAUUUUCAACUUGAACCCAACACUUCAAUAAUUUCAAUUGAAUACAGUAAAAUUGUAUACGUUGAAUAUUCUGCAUUCGGUGAAUUUGAAAACUUGACAAACCUAAGUCUUGUCGGCAACAAUCUAACAACAUUUCACAUUGAAUCCAACAAACUACAAGUGCUUAAUUUAGCACACAAUAAAAUAACGAACAUUGACCCAAAACUGUUUGAAAAUUCUCCGCAUCUAACAGAAUUGUACUUGGAAGAUAAUCAAAUAUCUCGUAUUGAAUGGGAUUUGAGCUUUCAUUCUAACCUUCAAAAAGUGCUACUCAAUGAAAAUCGUCUGGAAUGGAUCCACUUGAUUUCACCAACUCUGGAUUCGCUAUGGAUAAAAUGGGGAACAAGAACCGUAGAGUUUUCUCCGGAGAGUGAAUUGAAGCAACUUACAUUCUUGGAAGCUACAGGGACGGAAAUAAAAAGGGAAAGCAGCUUAUGUUCAUUAAGUGACUCUGAGCUAUUGAUUCAUGUAUCAGAGGAAGAUAUUAACUGUCCUAAAGUACUUGCAACAGUUAAAGCUGUGAACGUCGAGGAGUCGUCCACGAGUACGAGUACAAUAAAGUCAGAGAUCAGAAAAGUCGGAUGUGACUACACCACAAUGAGAAUUAAUAAUAUUGACGAUGUUGUUCUUACAAAUAAGGAAUAUUACCAACUUGUUAUAAGUUUCUACAUAUUGGGCAGUUUAAUAUUUCUUCAGAUGAUUGGAAUUAUUUUUGUCAUAGUGAGGUAUCAUCGUAAUUUGAGGAACUAUUCAGUGAAAUCAAAAUAUGAACAUGCAAGCUUAAUAAGAAAUUUAUGAGGUGAUACUUCCUGCAAGAAGUCACAAAUAUAUGUUAUCUAUAUCUAUUUAUUCAGUAUGAUAAGUAUUUCUAUAGUUAUUUGAGUAAUUAUUAAGUUGUUAAACUAAUAUAUUCAGUUAUGAAGCAAACUCGUUGAGUUGAACACCCAUUCAUCAUGUUUAAAAUGGAAUGUGGAAGAUGUUUAUUCUUAAUUUCAAUGGGAAUAGGAGUAACCUAUGGUUAUCCUUUUGGUUCACUUACAGAAAUACUCUGCGAUAAAUUAAACCAAGAAACAAUGCAAAAUCUUUCCGCCCAAGACUUCGACAAGAUUCAAAUAAUUGACAAUCAAGGAAAAAACACCAUCAUCAACUUUCUGGACAUCAUCAACACUUACAACGCAGUCUUCAAAGAAAUGAAAACAUUGCGACUUGUAGGAUGCCACGCACAAAACGAAUUAUCAUGGAAAAGCCUCCUCACUUCUUUGAAUAAAAUCAUUCACUUAGAAAUUCGCAUGGCAGGUAUGAAAGUGUUUAAUUUUGAUUGGAUAUUUUCCAAAGAUUUAACAGACGUAAAUUUAGACGGUAAUAAACUGCAACUUCAAGGUUCUAGUAAUGCUAAACUACGUAAAUUUAGUUGUGUCAAUUGCUCUCUAAACAUGACAGAUGUAAAUGUAUUGAAAGAAAGUUUUAACGCCACGUUG